GGAGUUAGCCGGUGCUUCUUCUGUGAGUGAUGUCCUUCCUGCCGGUUAUUGACCCGCAGGCCUUCUUCCUCACUGAAAGUGCUUUACAACCCGAAGGCCUUCUUCACACACGCGGCAUGGCUGGAUCAGGGUUGCCCCCAUUGUCCAAUAUUCCCCACUGCUGCCUCCCGUAGGAGUCUGGGCCGUGUCUCAGUCCCAGUGUGGCUGAUCAUCCUCUCAGACCAGCUACGGAUCGUCGCCUUGGUGAGCCGUUACCUCACCAACCAGCUAAUCCGACAUAGGCUCAUCCGAUAAGCGCGAGGCCCGAAGGUCCCCCGCUUUCCCCCGUAGGGCGUAUGCGGUACUUAGCCUGGGUUUCCCCCAGGGUUAUCCCCCACUACCCGGGCACGAUUCCCUAUGCAUUACUCACCCGUCCGCCGCUCGCCACCAGGGAGCAAGCUCCCCGUGCUGCCGCUCGACUUGCAUGUGUUAGGCCUGCCGCCAGCGUUCAAUCUGAGCCAUAAUCAAACUCUGA
rnacentral:rRNA from 1 species